rnacentral:rRNA from 1 species
UACGUAGGGUGCGAGCGUUGUCCGGAAUUAUUGGGCGUAAAGAGCUUGUAGGCGGUUUGUCGCGUCUGCUGUGAAAAUCCGGGGCUCAACCCCGGACUUGCAGUGGGUACGGGCAGACUAGAGUGUGGUAGGGGAGACUGGAAUUCCUGGUGUAGCGGUGGAAUGCGCAGAUAUCAGGAGGAACACCGAUGGCGAAGGCAGGUCUCUGGGCAACAACUGACGCUGAGGAGCGAAAGCGUGGGGAGCGAACAGG